ACUGUCUACGUCUGGAUUGGAGAGGGUGCCAACAAGCAGGAGAGAGACGAGGCCGAACGACUGGCCAUUGAGUAUGUGAAUACAGACCCUGCAGGCCGGGACCCUGAUACCCCUGUAUACAAAGUCAAACAAGGCUACGAACCUCCCACCUUCACAGGCUUCUUUGGAAUGUGGGACAGAGAUCUCUGGAGUAAAGGAAAAUCAUUUGAAGAGCUGAAGACAGAGCUUGGAGAAGGAAACGAGGCUAUGUCUCUUGUCAAGAAGGUAGCCGAGAAUGGCUCCAUGGAUUUCCAGGAUGUGGCCAAGUACAGCUAUGAUGAACUGACUGUUCCCGCCGAGGAACUGCCAGCAGGGGUUGAUCCAUCGUGUAGGGAGAUCCAUCUAAGCAAUGAAGACUUUGAAAAGGUUUUCAAGAUGAAAUACUCAGAUUUUAUCACCAAAGCACCUUGGAAACAGCAAGAGUUGAAGAAGAAGCACCGAUUGUUCUAGCUGAAUUUUAUAGUUAUAGUCAACUUAUCCCAUUGCUCAUUAUGUACGUAGUCUGUUGGCAUUACGCACCAGUUACUGUACCAAACGUUCAGAUGAAACAGAUCUGACACAGAUUAUUAUCAAAACCGUUUCUGUGUUUGCUUUUGUGGUGUUGCUGCAAUGUGUAAAGUGUAUGCACAUGUACUUGAAAAAAAAAAGACACUUUGAUUAUAAUUAAAUCCACAUUCACAAUUUCUUAAUUUAAUCUAAAUUAAAUCCACCAUAUGCAUAUUCCAACUAGUUUAGGUUUUAUGGAAACAAGUGAUCAAUGAACAUGGUUAGUCCAACUGUUAUUUACAAUUUUUUCGUACAAUUGUUAAGAUUUUAAAAUAAAUUUUUGGUAUUUAUCACUUUAUAUUUCAUAUCAAGGAUUGGGUUGUGAUUAAUUAUUUACAUAUUUUGUGUGACCAAAUAACUUCAGAACUUUAAGAUCUUGUUUGUUUAUUUUUUUUCCUGUUAGUAUAUGGAUCUGCUUGUUAGUUUAUUUUUGAUAUAUCUUUAAUAUGUUAUUUACUUUAAUAUUCCUUUUUUAAAAGUUGAUUAUAUUUUGUAUCCAUUAUUGGAUGCCUUUUCUCUUCAUUAUCAUGUUUGUUUGUUUACAUUUUUCUAAAGUUUAUUCAUAUUUCACAAUACAUAAUAAGUAAUAAUCAUAAUAUCGGGGUAUUUGUUGUAUAUUUUAAUCAAGAGUAUUAUAUUAUAGGUACAAGAUAUGAUAAUGAAAAAAAUAUGCAUUGUUACUGUUAUAGACAACUAUUAAAAUAUUUACAGAUUUACAUUUAAAGAAAAAACCUGAGGAAGGAUUCUUUUGAGAAAGACUGUUAUAUGUACAUGAAUAUUGUUAGUGUUCAGGGUAAAAUUUACUGAGUACAAUACAUCAAAUGCCUCUCUACAUAUUCAAUAGUGCGAUUGUCUCAUUGGUCUAAAUCUAGCAUGUUGCUUGUGUAUGGAUCUGCCAAGUGUCUUCCAGAAAUGUAAUCCAUUCAUAUCUUGUUUAAUAAAGCAUUCGAUAUACAUGUACAUGCAAAUUAUACAUGUAAAUUACAAUGCCUGCAAAUGUUUUCCCAUCUACAUUCCUUGUAAUGAAUGAAGUGACAACUUCCCAUUAUAUUUUGUUUCCAUACCUGUUGGUAGGAGAUGAGUGCUGCAUAGAAAGCAAUACAUUCCUUUUGAUAUACACCUGUAUGUAGUCUGUGCAAUUCAUUUUCUUAGAUCUUUUAGAGUGCAAUGUAAGCUAUUUUAGGGGUUCCAUUCCAAAUAAUAUAUAUGAAGAUUGUAGCCAUCAAAUUGUGGGGUUGGUAGAUUUCUGAUCAAUAUCUUUGUAACCAGAUUUUUUUUUGUACUAGAUCUGUAUAUGUAGUUUCACUUUGUCUCUGUCAUUUUACAGACAAUUAUGUGUUGAACUUCUUAUAUAAAUGUCUAUUACCU
rnacentral:misc_RNA from 1 species